UACGUAGGGUGCGAGCGUUGUCCGGAAUUAUUGGGCGUAAAGAGCUCGUAGGCGGUUUGUCGCGUCGGCCGUGAAAUCUCCACGCUUAACGUGGAGCGUGCGGUCGAUACGGGCAGACUUGAGUUCGGUAGGGGAGACUGGAAUUCCUGGUGUAGCGGUGAAAUGCGCAGAUAUCAGGAGGAACACCGGUGGCGAAGGCGGGUCUCUGGGCCGAUACUGACGCUGAGGAGCGAAAGCGUGGGUAGCAAACAGG
rnacentral:rRNA from 1 species